rfam:Gasterosteus aculeatus cont1.010036, whole genome shotgun sequence.
GACGAGAUGGCCGAGUGUUUAAGGCGAUGGACUGCUAAUCCAUUGAGCUCUGCACGCAUGGGUUCGAAUCCCAUUCUCGUCG